rnacentral:rRNA from 1 species
AUGGUGUACAUUAGGAUUCAGCCUUAUUGUCAGAGUGUAUUUGGGCUGAGAGGAUCUUUGAAACUCAUAUCUAAAUACUACGGUCCAUACAAAGUGCUGGCACAUGUGGGGCAAGUUUCAUACAAGUUGCAGCUACCUAACACAGCUGGGAUACAUCCAGUGUUUCACAUCAACCAACUAAAAUAACAUGUAGGCAAACAUGCAGUGCCAUUACCUCAUGUUCCUUCAGUAACACCUGAUGGGAAGAUCAAGACGACACCGUUCACAAGACUGGACGCUCGUACAAUCAAUCGUAAGAAACAACCAGUCACACAAUGGUUGAUUCAUUGGGAAAGUCUUGGACCUGAAGACACUACCUGGGAGGAUGAAUCUUUUUUUCAGCAUUCGUUUCCAGCGUUUCAACCUUGA